UUAAACGUCGGGCAUUCGGUGUUGGAUUGAUAAAGCGUUUUUCAAAGUGCUGAUAUAAAGUUGAUAAGUAAGUUGUUUUCGAAAAUCAAGUAUAAUCGCGGUAAAAAUUAGUUUAUAAGGACACAGUUCUCUAUUUUAAAUUGAACAUACCUGUAUUUAAUAUAAAAGUGUGCAAACUGCAAAUAAAGUAAACUGUAUAUUUAUUGAAUUCUAAUACUUGCAUGAAAACUGCUAACAUGAAUCGAUUUUGGGACCAUUAUACUCGUUGGUAGCAUGUGCCAUAUAAACAUAGUUUCCAUAUUAACUGUGGCGUCAUUUCUUACUAUGACGACAUCGUCACUUUGUGACGUUUGCGCAUUCGGCCAGUGCGACGCCAAGGGCGCAUGCAUAUAUGGUUGCCAGGAAAGAGACAGCAGUUACAAGGACGGCGUAUGCAUGGGGAGAUGCGGACAAAACUGCUCCUUGUGUGAGGCAAAGCUAUGUUUCUCCUGCCAGCCUGGUUUCCAUGGUCCCUCGUGUGACCGGAAAUGCAUUACAAUGUGUCACUCUACUGGUCGUUGUAACCGGAACACGGGCUAUUGUCACGUAAACGAAUGCACGGGCGGUCAAUGUCACGCAACCGACGAGACGAAAACCGGACCUCCCCUCUAUGUGUACCUUCUCAUCAGUAGCAGUCUCAUUUCAAUCUUGCUGACGGCAAUUAUCAUCACCGUCGUCGUCCGCUUUGCCGGCCGUCGGCAUGCCGACCAUUACUCCAAGGUAUGUGCAGACAUCAAGAAAGCCGACACCAACGACUUGGAAUCAGUACAAAACGUAUGACGAUGUAAGAGCUAAGUGUAAACAGUGAUAUAAUCACAUAGACGAAAUUGUUCAUUAAUUGAAAAGAACAAAAUGUUGUUUGUUAUUUAUGUAGACAUAACUGCUUCUAAGCGAACCACGCAGUGGUUGUUUUUAUGCCGAGAUGUACCCAAAAAUGUCAUAUUUUGAAAUAAAGGACAUGCUAUUGUUUAAUCA